rnacentral:rRNA from 1 species
GAUGAACGCUGGCGGCGUGCCUAAUACAUGCAAGCCGAGCGAAUGGAUUAAGAGCUUGCUCUUAUGAAGUUAGCGGCGGACGGGUGAGUAACACGUGGGUAACCUGCCCAUAAGACUGGGAUAACUCCGGGAAACCGGGGCUAAUACCGGAUAACAUUUUGAACCGCAUGGUUCGAAAUUGAAAGGCGGCUUCGGCUGUCACUUAUGGAUGGACCCGCGUCGCAUUAGCUAGUUGGUGAGGUAACGGCUCACCAAGGCAACGAUGCGUAGCCGACCUGAGAGGGUGAUCGGCCGCACUGGGACUGAGACACGGCCCAGACUCCUACGGGAGGCAGCAGUAGGGAAUCUUCCGCAGUGGACGAAAGUCUGACGGAGCAACGCCGCGUGAGUGAUGAAGGCUUUCGGGUCGUAAAACUCUGUUGUUAGGGAAGAACAAGUGCUAGUUGAAUAAGCUGGCACCUUGACGGUACCUAACCAGAAAGCCACGGCUAACUACGUGCCAGCCGCCGCGGUAA